rnacentral:lncRNA from 1 species
GAAUACAUCUCUAUACUUGUUUACAGUAAUUUUUUUUCAGUUGAAAACAUUUGGUACUACUAAACAAUAAAUAAAACAUGUUCAGAAGGUAGUAUAGUUGCCUUAAAUUAUACUUAAAAUACUCUUACAAUAUUUUUUAUAGAAUUCAUUAUGUGCUGUCCAGCUGAGUCCCAUUAAGUCUGCAUUUGUUCCAGUACAAAGAAUGAAAAACAUCUCUAAAUCUGAGGAAGGUACAGUAAGACAACUCACUUUAGUUCUUGGUUAUACAUAAAGUAGAAUGACAGAUAUACCCACUGUGUAACAUGACUUGUGUCUUUUGGCAUCAGUGAUUCUAAGUAAGAAAGGGUAAUUCUCUACAGCAAAUUUUUUUCCUGUAAAUGUAAGACAUAGAAUCAUUGAGCAUGAUAUUAAUGGUUUUAUAAAUGCUUACAACAUAUAUUCAGUUUUUAUUCCAUUCCUCCUUGUUUUUAAAUGCGUUUGUCACAUAUAACUGUAUGAUGUGGACAGGUAUUGCUUGCUAUGAUUACGUAUUUCCAAACUCAUUAGGACUUUCUCUGGUGCCAUUUGUAAGAUGCAUUAGUGUUCUUAAUUAUUUCAUAUUCUAACAUAUAAUGUUUCUUGAUUUUGCUACCUUUCUCUUCUUUUAACAUCAAUUUUGUGUGUUUCACAGACCAGUCAUGAAAACGAGUAGUUUAUUUAAAUGAUUAUUCAAAUGAGGCCUUCUCAUUUGAAGUUCCCCCUGUAAUCUCUUCAGUUUCAGAAAGCAUUGCUCAGUUUCUAGUGGCAGAAAAACUAGCGAGUACACCAAUUGCAGAGGAUGAAAUUCUGGCAGCCAUGGACCGUGUGCAGCCAGCCAGCAAGUCCUCACUGCUUAAAAGGGGUCCGUGUCCAGGCAGGAGUGCUCUUUCUGCAGAAGAACACAAGAUUUUCCAGUCCCUGGAUUGUCUGAAUCAAAAGCUACAGAAUGUUCAAGAAGCCAUUACCAGAAAUCCAUUUGCUUUACAUAUUUUGCAGAUAAGCAACCCAUAAGUAUUCAGCAAUGCAUGUCCUCUUGGGUCAGCCCUGCAAUAGCCUCACAGCAAUACCAGAGUACCUCCAGCUGGUAACCCACUGCAAUUGUGCAGGAGACACUGACAUUAUCUGCUACAGGAUCUUGUGACUUUAUGUACUUCAUAUGCAGUGUGUAUAUUGUUUGAUGCCACAAAAUUAGCAACAAAAUCAAGAAGAAAGCAGAAACUCAAAUAAUGAAUGUCAAUUGACUGGUAAGCAUUUUUAGGAUAACUAUUUUAUUCUGCACUUUAUUGUAAAAUUUUUAAAAACCCAUCUGAAUUGUUAUGCCAGUUCUGGAUUAAAGGCCUUUUGUUAACCAGCAUGAUACCUUAAUCUGUGAAGUUAGUUAAUUGCUAAGAAAUUGUGACUUUUUAACUUCUUUUUCACUUCCUCUGCUGUUUCAACAAAAAGUAGAUAAGUAUUCAUAGAAUCAUAAAAUCACACAAUCAUUUCAGUUGGAAGAUCAAGUCCAACCUGACAUGACCACAUUUAUCAUUAAACCAGUACCCAGGUGCCACAUCCACAUCUCUGUAUUUUUAAAAACAAGCAGAAUCAAUCAACAAAUUUAGGCUGUAAUUAGCUGCAAGAAACAAUAAAAACAAUUUAUAAAAUCUCA